rnacentral:tRNA from 3 species
GCGCCAGUAGCUCAGCUGGAUAGAGCAACUGCCUUCUAAGCAGUAGGCCGGGGGUUCGAGUCCCUCCUGGCGCGCCA